UAGUCUAGUUACUAGGCAGUGUAGUUAGCUGAUUGCAAAUAGUACCAAUCACUAACCACACAGCCAGGUAAAAAGACUGA
rnacentral:pre_miRNA from 1 species